rnacentral:tRNA from 4 species
GGCCCCGUAGCUCAGUAGGAUAGAGCACCAGAUUCCUAAUCUGGGUGUCGCAAGUUCGAAUCUUGCCGGGGUCACCA